rnacentral:tRNA from 1 species
GGGGUUGUGGCUCAGUGGUAGAGCACUUGCCUUGCACGCAUGAGGCACUAGAUUCAAACCCCAGCACCACA